rnacentral:lncRNA from 1 species
CAAAAUCAAAAUUUAUGUUGAUCGAUAUUAAGAAGAACCCAGGGUUCUUCGUGCUGCUGCUUCGUCCCCUCAUCACUCUCAAUCCUUGCCAAUGUCUAAGAGAACCAAGAAAAAUGGAGUUGAAAAGUGGAGUACGAACCCUAAAUCGAUAUUCCUGCAAUUUUGUGAAUGCAAGCUGAGAUUUGAUUUUUUCAUUCGAUGUAUCCG